rnacentral:rRNA from 1 species
UGGUGGUGCAUGGCCGUUCUUAGUUGGUGGAGUGAUUUGUCUGGUUAAUUCCGAUAACGAACGAGACCUUAACCUGCUAACUAGUUCUCAAUACUCUGUAUUCUGCAACUUCUUAGAGGGACUAUGUAAAUCAAUUACAUGGAAGUUUGAGGCAAUAACAGGUCAGUGAUGCCCUUAUAUGUCCUGGGCUGCACGCGUGCUACACUGAUGCAUACAACAAGUGCCUAGCCAGACAUGGUAUGGCAAUCUCGAAUAUGCAUCGUGAUGGGGAUAGAUCUUUGCAAUUA